AGCCUUCCUAUCCCUACCUUUCUUUUCUCUUUGUCUUCCUUAAUUCUCUUCUUAGACUCUUAUCCUAAAAUCAGACUUGUCCUUUCUAUUUUUAGACUUAUCCUAACAAAAGAAGGAAGAGACUAAUUGGAUAAUAGGUAGAGGAUGUUAGAAAGAAAGGAGGAAUUGGAAAUCUGAAAUGAAUCCAAUCCCCCGGUGCACCCCCCUUUAAAUACUUAGCGAUGGGUUGCCUUCAAAAAUUUUUUGCAGCCCUUCCACAUGCCAUCUCAUAUCCAUCAGAAAAUCUCACACCUCCUGAUGAAUUCUCAUAC
rnacentral:lncRNA from 1 species